rnacentral:rRNA from 1 species
GAUGAACGCUGGCGGCGUGCUUAACACAUGCAAGUCGAACGGAGUACCCUUGAAGGAGUUUUCGGACAACUGAUAGGACUACUUAGUGGCGGACGGGUGAGUAACGCGUGAGUAACCUGCCUUGGAGUGGGGAAUAACAGCUGGAAACAGCUGCUAAUACCGCAUGAUAUGUCUGAAUCGCAUGGUUCUGGACAUCAAAGAUUUAUCGCUCUGAGAUGGACUCGCGUCUGAUUAGCUAGUUGGCGGGGUAACGGCCCACCAAGGCGACGAUCAGUAGCCGGACUGAGAGGUUGGCCGGCCACAUUGGGACUGAGACACGGCCCAGACUCCUACGGGAGGCAGCAGUGGGGAAUAUUGGGCAAUGGGCGCAAGCCUGACCCAGCAACGCCGCGUGAAGGAAGAAGGCUUUCGGGUUGUAAACUUCUUUUCUCAGGGACGAAGAAAGUGACGGUAC